AUUGAACGCUGGCGGCAUGCCUUACACAUGCAAGUCGAGCGGCAGCACGGGUGCUUGCACCUGGUGGCGAGUGGCGAACGGGUGAGUAAUACAUCGGAACAUGUCCUGUAGUGGGGGAUAGCCCGGCGAAAGCCGGAUUAAUACCGCAUACGAUCUACGGAUGAAGGCGGGGGACCUUCGGGCCUCGCGCUAUAGGGUUGGCCGAUGGCUGAUUAGCUAGUUGGUGGGGUAAAGGCCUACCAAGGCGACGAUCAGUAGCUGGUCUGAGAGGACGACCAGCCACACUGGGACUGAGACACGGCCCAGACUCCUACGGGAGGCAGCAGUGGGGAAUUUUGGACAAUGGGCGAAAGCCUGAUCCAGCAAUGCCGCGUGUGUGAAGAAGGCCUUCGGGUUGUAAAGCACUUUUGUCCGGAAAGAAAUCCUUGGCUCUAAUACAGUCGGGGGAUGACGGUACCGGAAGAAUAAGCACCGGCUAACUACGUG
rnacentral:rRNA from 1 species